GACGAACGCUGGCGGCGUGCUUAACACAUGCAAGUCGAACGGAAAGGCCCUGCUUUUGUGGGGUGCUCGAGUGGCGAACGGGUGAGUAACACGUGAGUAACCUGCCCCUGACUUUGGGAUAACUUCAGGAAACUGGGGCUAAAACCUGAUAGGAGCUCCUGCUGCAUGGUGGGGGUUGGAAUGUUUCGGCGGUUGGGGAUGGACUCGCGGCUUAUCAGCUUGUUGGUGGGGUAGUGGCUUACCAAGGCUUUGACGGGUAGCCGGCCUGAGAGGGUGACCGGCCACAUUGGGACUGAGAUACGGCCCAGACUCCUACGGGAGGCAGCAGUGGGGAAUAUUGCACAAUGGGCGGAAGCCUGAUGCAGCGACGCCGCGUGCGGGAUGACGGCCUUCGGGUUGUAAACCUCUUUCACCUGUGACGAAGCGUGAGUGACGGUAAUGGGUAAAGAAGCACCGGCUAACUACGUG
rnacentral:rRNA from 1 species